AAAAAUCAAAGUUUGAUUUAUUAUUUUAUUCAUUUAUUUGAAAUUAUAUAGAAAUCGAGCUUUGAUUUUUAUGAAUUUUGUGAAAUUAAAAAUUUUUAUAAUAUUUUUUAAUUUAUUAGAGUAAAGCUAAAUAGAUAAAUCGAAAUGAACAACGGUAAAUGUGUGUCAAACGAUGGUGCUUAUAUAAGAAGUCUAUAUAAGAUAUCCUAUGAAUUAUAAUAAUGGUACAAAAAAUGCCCACUUGGAGCUCUGAAUUCCAUGGCACUGCUUAACAAAGCAGCCGCGCUGGCCUACCAAUUUAAAGUAUGGGAAUGACCCACUUGGAGCUCUCGAUUCCUUGGCAUGGCUUAGCGAAGCAGCCGUGCCUUCUUACCUAUUUAAAGUAUGAGAACAGCUUGAGGGUGUUGCGCCCCCGAUGCCUCUAAUUAUUGGCGGGCGGUGUGCACAAAGGGCAGGGACGUAGUAAUUGUGUGCUGAUGACUCGCGCUUGCUAGGAAUUCCUCGUUGAAGACCAACAAUUGCAAUGAUCCAGAGUCGAUCCUUUUUUCCGAAGUUACGGAUCUAUUUGUCGGCUUUCCUUGCUUACAUUGUUCCAUCGACCAAGGCUGUUCACCUUGCCUCUAUUGUGUCAUUCCUAAAAACAGUAACACCACAUGACAUGUUAUUGUUUCUGUUGUAUUGAUAUAAGUUCAUUUAAAUUUAAUGAUAUAUCUUAUCAAAUUCAACUAAAAUCUUCGAUAUGUACAAUCGUACAAUUUGUGCUAUUGAUAUAUUGUUGUG